AAAACUCGGAGACUUAUCGCCCCCUUUCCUUCAGCCUCAAGCUCUGUUUUCAUUUUCUGCCCUACCAUUUCUAAUUGCGCUUCUUCCCACCAGCCAAAAUACGGGAAAUCUGCAGACCUCUGCUGAAUGCCUGGUUGAAGAGCAGCCUGGUCUGGAACUCGGAGACAAACGGGAACCAUGCCAGAAUUGCCACCGGUGUAAAGAUAACAAUCCCCAUCAUGUACUCGUACCCCCUCGCCAGUGCCUUCACCGAUCCCCACAGCCCCAGAGCCUUCACCACCGGCCUGCACGCCUGUGCUAUCUGAAGGAGAGCCCAUCCGGUUGGCAUGAAGGCGAGAAGGCUGGCAAAGAU
rnacentral:misc_RNA from 1 species